AGUCUCCAACUCCAUUCUUUUUUCUUCUCUCAGUCUCAGAUUCUCUUUGUGGAUCAUCGGCAUCACCAGAAGCAAACCAAUAACGGAAGAUUGAAGAACAGAACCCAGCUAUCUUCUUUUACCCAGUUGGUAAAUAAAUCAUUCUUUACCUCUCAAACUGCAUCCACAUUACAGUCAUUGCCAGAAUCUUCUCCUACUUACAGGGUUUGUCAAGAUUGAAGAACUGAAGUUCAGUUCAUUGGAGCUUGAAGAAGAACUGGUCAGAGACUCAGAGUUGGUUUAAGAAGAACUAAGAAGGGUUUGUCAAGAUUGAAGAACUGAAGUUCAGUUCAUUAGAGUUUGAAGAAGAACUAAUCAGAGUUGGUUUAGGAAAACUAAGAAGGUUACCAUGGUUGAAAUCUCAGAAGAUGAUUCUGCUUCUAAUCUUCCAAUUAUACAUGGAGUGGCAUCACAAAUGGGACCUCCCCCUCCACGUCCACCGCGUUCUGGACAAGUGCAUGGACCAUCAGCAGGGACAGGGAGUACCGCUGGC